rnacentral:rRNA from 1 species
AUGAACGCUGGCGGCGUGCCUAAUACAUGCAAGUCGAGCGAACAGACGAGGAGCUUGCUCCUCUGACGUUAGCGGCGGUCGGGUGAGUAACACGUGGAUAACCUACCUAUAAGACUGGGAUAACUUCGGGAAACCGGAGCUAAUACCGGAUAAUAUAUUGAACCGCAUGGUUCAAUAGUGAAAGACGGUUUUGCUGUCACUUAUAGAUGGAUCCGCGCCGCAUUAGCUAGUUGGUAAGGUAACGGCUUACCAAGGCAACGAUGCGUAGCCGACCUGAGAGGGUGAUCGGCCACACUGGAACUGAGACACGGUCCAGACUCCUACGGGAGGCAGCAGUAGGGAAUCUUCCGCAAUGGGCGAAAGCCUGACGGAGCAACGCCGCGUGAGUGAUGAAGGUCUUCGGAUCGUAAAACUCUGUUAUUAGGGAAGAACAAAUGUGUAAGUAACUAUGCACGUAUUGACGGUACCUAAUCAGAAAGCCACGGCUAACUACGUG